rnacentral:lncRNA from 1 species
UCCAAACCUUCUAGAUUUCAGCUUAUGAUAAGUUCCUUUAGGGAAACGUUCUUGUCUUAAGUGGACGAGAACCUGAUCGCCUUCUUCAAAUUCUUGUACGCGCCGAUGCUGGUUGGCUGUAUAGGCAUAUGAUGCAUUGCUGUCUUUUAAGGCAGCUUUCACCUCUGUAUGAAUUUUCCUGAUGUGAUCAGCAAACAAUUCCCCUUCAGCACUUACUCUAGCCUCUUGGGGCAAGGGCACCAAAUCGAGU